AGGGUUUGAUCAUGGCUCAGAAUCAACGCUGGCGGCGUGCCUAACACAUGCAAGUCGAUCGCGAAAGGGGAGCAAUCCCUGAUUAGAGUGGCAAACGGGUGAGUAACACGUGGGUGUCCUGCCUUCGAGUGGGGGAUAACCUUCCGAAAGGAGGGCUAAUACCGCAUGACAUACCGUGUUUGGAUACACGGAUAUCAAAGCCGGGGAUCGCAAGACCUGGCGCUUGGAGAGGGGCCCGCGUCCGAUUAGCUAGUUGGUGAGGUAACGGCUCACCAAGGCUCCGAUCGGUAUCCGGCCUGAGAGGGCGGACGGACACACUGGAACUGAGACACGGUCCAGACUCCUACGGGAGGCAGCAGUGGGGUAUUGUUCGCAAUGGGCGAAAGCCUGACGACGCAACGCCGCGUGGAGGAUGAAGAAUUUCGGUUCGUAAACUCCUUUCGACCGAGAUGAAUACCCACGGACUUAAUACGUCUGUGGGCUGACAGUAUCGAGAGAAGAAGCCCCGGCUAACUCUGUGCCAGCAGCCGCGGUAAUACAGGGGGGGCAAGCGUUGUUCGGAAUUACUGGGCGUAAAGGGUUUGUAGGUGGCCACUUAAGUCAGACGUGAAAUCCCUCAGCUUAACUGGGGAACUGCGUCUGAUACUGAGUGGCUUGAGUGCAGGAGAGGAACGCGGAAUUCCAGGUGUAGCGGUGAAAUGCGUAGAUAUCUGGAGGAACACCGGUGGCGAAGGCGGCGUUCUGGACUGUAACUGACACUGAAAAACGAAAGCCAGGGGAGCAAACGGGAUUAGAUACCCCGGUAGUCCUGGCCCCUAAACGAUGAAUGCUUGGUGUGGCGGGUAUCGAUCCCUGCCGUGCCGUAGUUAACGCGAUAAGCAUUCCCGCCUGGGGAGUACGGUCG
rnacentral:rRNA from 1 species